rnacentral:rRNA from 1 species
GGAGCAAACAGGAUUAGAUAGCCUGGUAGUCCACGCCCUAAACGAUGCCGACUAGUUGUUGGGAAUUUACAUUCUCAGUAACGUAGCUAACGCGUGAAGUCGGCCGCCUGGGGAGUACGUUCGCAAGAUUAAAACUCAAAGGAAUUGACGGGGACCCGCACAAGCGGUGGAUGAUGUGGAUUAAUUCGAUGCAACGCGAAAAACCUUACCUACCCUUGACAUGUCACUAACGAAGUAGAGAUACAUUAGGUGCCCGUAAGGGAAAGUGAACACAGGUGCUGCAUGGCUGUCGUCAGCUCGUGUCGUGAGAUGUUGGGUUAAGUCCCGCAACGAGCGCAACCCUUGUCUUUAGUUGCUACGCAAGAGCACUCUAAAGAGACUGCCGGUGACAAACCGGAGGAAGGUGGGGAUGACGUCAAGUCCUCAUGGCCCUUAUGGGUAGGGCUUCACACGUCAUACAAUGGUGCAUACAGAGGGUUGCCAACCCGCGAGGGGGAGCUAAUCUCAGAAAAUGCAUCGUAGUCCGGAUCGUAGUCUGCAACUCGACUACGUGAAGCUGGAAUCGCUAGUAAUCGCGGAUCAGAAUGUCGCGGUGAAUACGUUCCCGGGUCUUGUACACACCGCCCGUCACACCAUGGGAGUGGGUUUUGCCAGAAGCCGU